CUAUGCCUGGUGCGACUUGCGAGAGGUGUACUGUAUAUUGAUAAAUGAGAUGGGAUGAAUCAGGGGAAUCUAGGCGAGUUAAUCAGAAUGCACUUGAGCGAGAACGAAGGGAUAGAGGGGAAGACCUUCGUGGUCACCGGUGGACUGGGAUUCGUAGGAUCUGGUCUCUGCUUGGAGCUCAUACGUAGAGGUGCCGUAGAGGUGCGAGCCUUUGACCUCCGCCUCUCUUCUCCUUGGUCGCGUCCUCUCAAGGACAAGGGAGUCCUCUGCAUCCAAGGGGAUGUUGCCCGCAAAGAAGACGUGGAAAGGGCCCUUCGCGGUGCCGACUGUGUAUUCCACCUUGCGGCCUUCGGAAUGUCAGGCAAAGAGAUGCUCCAAUUUGGUCGCGUCGAUGAAGUCAACAUUAAUGGUACUUGCCAUGUUAUCGACGCUUGCCUCUACCUCGGCAUCAAAAGGCUUGUCUACUGUAGCACAUGCAAUGUUGUCUUUGGCGGUCAACAGAUCAUCAAUGGGAAUGAGACAUUGCCCUAUUUCCCAAUUGAUCACCAUGUCGAUCCUUAUGGCCGCAGCAAAUCUAUUGCUGAACAGUUGGUUCUUAAGAACAAUGCCCGCACUCUCAAGAGCGAUUCCUCCGGGAAUCAUCGUCUUUACACUUGUGCUGUUCGUCCAGCUGCAAUCUAUGGACCGGGUGAAGACAGACACCUUCCAAGGAUCGUAACCAUGGCAAGGUUGGGUCUCCUUUUGUUCAGAAUUGGCGACCAAACUGUAAAAUCAGAUUGGAUUUUUGUGGAUAACCUUGUCCUUGCUCUUAUAUUGGCGAGUAUGGGACUUUUGGAUGACAAUCUUAGCAAGGGAAAACGCCCUGUAGCUGCUGGCCAGGCCUACUUUAUAUCUGAUGGCUCACCGGUCAAUUCUUUUGAAUUCCUGCAGCCUCUACUUAGGAGUUUGGGUUAUGAACUGCCAAAGACUUCCCUACCAGUCGAACGUGCUCUUGUUCUCGGGAGGAUUUGCUGGGCUGUUUAUACAAUCCUAUAUCCAUGGCUCAAUCGGUGGUGGCUUCCACAGCCAUUCAUCCUCCCCUCUGAAGUUCACAAGGUGGGAGUGACCCAUUAUUUCUCUUAUCUUAAAGCCAAAGAGGAGAUUGGCUAUGCUCCCAUGGUGACCUCUCGAGAGGGGAUGGCUUUGACCAUAUCUUACUGGCAAGAGAGGAAACGGACAACUCUGGAUGGACCGACAAUCUAUGCGUGGUUGUUUUGUGUCAUUGGAAUGAUCUCACUGUUUUGUGGUGCUUUCUUACCUGAUAUAGGGAUCAUGUCCCUUCUCAGAACUACAUGUCUAUUUGUCUUUCGGUCAAUGUGGGUUACAAGGCUGGUGUUUCUUCUGGCUACAGCUGCACAUAUUGCUGAGGCCAUUUAUGCUUGGUACCUGGCUAAAAGGGUGGAUCCUGCCAAUGCAAGAGGAUGGUUUUGGCAAACUUUUGCUCUUGGGUUCUUUUCGUUGCGUUUACUAUUGAAAAGAGCAAGGAAAUAGGUGAACCAUUUUGGUUCUUUUGUGAGAUUUAUCUUUAAUCUCCCUGCACCCACAGAUCAAAUUCCUGCAAAAAUGGUACUUACCACUCUUAAUUCUGCUGUACAUUGGGCAACUUCUUCACCAUGUGGUCCAGUGCAUAUUAACUGCCCUUUUAGAGAGCCUUUGGAAAGCAGUCCCUGCAGAUGGUUGUCAAGCUGUUUAUCUGGGUUAGACUUGUGGAUGGCUAAUGCUGAACCAUUUACCAAGUAUAUUCAUAUGCAAUUGUCUCAUACUUGUUUAAAUGCUCCUGGUGAAAUGACUGAAGUUUUAAAUCUGAUUCCAAGGGCCAAUAAUAGUCUUCUAUUAUUUGGUGCAAUCCAUACAGAGGAUGAGAUGUGGGCUGCUCUGCUUUUGGCUAAACACCUUCAGUGGCCUGUUGUAGCAGAUAUCUUGUCUGGGUUGCGGCUAAGAAAACUUUUAACUUCUUUUCCUGAUAUUGAAAGAAACUUUAUAUUUGUUGACAAUCUUGAUCAUGCUCUUCUCUCAGAUUCUGUCAAGGGCUGGUUAGAGGUUGAUGUGGUUAUUCAGAUAGGAAGCAGGAUAACUAGCAAACGGAUCUGCCAAAUUAUUGAGGAUUGUGCUCCUUUUUCAUAUAUUAUGGUUGACAAGCAUCCACAUCGUCAUGAUCCAACACAGAUUGUAACUCAUCGUAUACAAACUUCCAUUUUUGAAUUUGUGGGCUGUGUACUUAAAGCUGCAGUUCCGCAUACAAGGAGCUUGUGGAGCACUUCCCUACAAUUGUUGAGUAAAAUGGCGUCAUUGUGAGUGAUGAAGUAUGAAUCGAAAGCACAAGAGUAAAGAGAAUUCAAAAACAAAAGAUUUCAAGUACUUUAGAGGAAAAAUUGAUGCAAAAACUAGAAGAAAAAAUCUUGAAGAAAAGUUGAAAGAAUUGGACAGCUCGCUUAGUGCGUGCUGCAGGCUUAACGCGAAGAAAGCCCACAGUGAAGCCCAAAUGAGUGCUUAGCGCAAAAUGAGCGUGAAAAUUAAGGAGGAGGAAGCAGAAGAAAAAAUACACCGAGUAUCAGAGCUAUCCAAAGUCUGGGCCUAUCCCUUAGGGGAAACCCCUCUCUCUUCUAGUCAUUCUCCUUUUUCUUGUUAUUAGUCAUUCAACUAUUUCUUUCAUUAGCUCCUGAAGUGUAAAAUCUGUUAUGGCUAUAAAAGGCUAAACCCAUGUUGUUGAGAGCCUAGAGGUCAACUCUUGUAAUGUAAAUCUUUCCUAUUAUCUAUUUAAUGUAAUUUUGUUUCUAUUA